AAUACAUCUUAUACAAUAAAGUUGCAUUGCCUCUCUCCUCCUUCCUCCACAUCACUCUGGAGAGAAGGGCAUUUCGCGACACGUGGCGUUAUAUGCAUAACUUUCUGAAAUCGCUUGUCGUGGAGUUUUAAAAACUGGGUUUUCGAUGGGCUUUUGUGUGUUUGUGUGUCAGCCCACGUGCCAUUAGUAUUUUCUUUAUUUUUCCAUAAAGUUUUAGUGUGCUUACUUCUUCAGCCGUCGAGAUUAAGAAAACAAAAAACUAACGAUCCUGAUUCCAUUUCCACGGCCAAGUAACGCACCGGAGAUGUCAUUAAUUGACGAAAACCCACUAACCCCACGAUCUAUCUUUAUUCACAGUGAGUAUAUAUGAACCUUCAGAUUGUCCUCUCCUGUUCCUCUACUUUUAGCCGUUCGAAAAUCUCUGAAACUCUCACAGAAGCUUUCCAAUAGUGUCAAAUUCACAGAUUCACUUCUCCGACUUGAAGGCCGGCCCGCGUUUAGACCAGACUCCGGAGGUCAGUUGAUGGCCGUCGAUAUGCUCCUUAUUGAUGCCAAGAAGUGAAAAUUGGUUCUUAACUCCAUGAGCAAGUGAGUUAGUUUAGGAGGCAGCUCCGGUCCAUGUCUGCACUUCUGAAGCGAACAAAAUUCCGAGCUAAGUAUUAGGACAGUGGUGAAGACAUUGACAUUGUCGUCUCCAGCUCCCAAACAAACGAAGGGAGCUUAGUGUAGUGUCUUGCCUACAUGUCGUACCAAAGAAUAAACCUGAGUAGGUGAAGACGUAUCUGAUACAUAUUUGUUUACAACUUACACUAUGAUAAUUACUGAUUAGGGAUGCACUUUGACAGAGUGGGAAUUACAAUCAGGAGAUGAUAUGUCAGGUGCUGGAGCAGUUAGAAGGAGCCACAUUACGAGAAACAAUCACAUAACACUCCUUUACAAACUUUCAAUUACUUAGUAGCUAUGCAGUCAAAUUUUAUUUUUGUAAUCCUCUGUUAUACUAUUCCGACCAUUCUAAUAUAAUGUUUCAUAAUUA